GUGCUGGCAGGUGCUGUUUGUCCCUGUCCAUUGUGCCCUUGAAGCCCAAACCUGUGCAUACUGCCAGGACCUGACGUGGGCAGCUCAUGCAGCUGGCAGGAGAGACCGCUGUGGGUGCAGCUCCCUGGAUGGAGGCAACGGGACCAAGCAAUAGGAGGUUCCUCUCAUGACAUCCAGGAUGGAGCAGGGAUGGAGCAGCAAUCUCAUGGUUGUGGACAGCUCUCAGCAAGUGGAGGAGGAGAUUGGAUUAUGUGGAGACAGAUAAUCAGCAUCUGCCUCUGGGCGGGGAUGCAGGACUGCGCAAAGACAGCCAAGAAGUCCAGGCGUGUUGCGUGGUCCAUGCCAACAAGGAGAUCUGUGUUCUGUAAAUCCAAGACCAUCCCUCUGACGCCAAAACCAGUGUCCUUCCAAGGCAUCCUCCCUGGCUAGGUGCCACGAUGAGGGAGCAGCCUGGGAUGGAAACGGGAGACCCAGAGCGGCCACGGGGGCAUAGGCCGUGCCUGGCAUGCUGGGAAAGCCUUCGGAGGGCUGAGCAAGACCAAUGAGGAUGCAGGAGCUGCAGGGAAAGGAGCUCCUCCAGAAAUCAAAGUGGAUUUGAGGCCGCGAGGCGAUCUCGCUGCCUGCUUCUGCCACGGGAAGACUUGUAGCCCGUCCAUGGGGCCAUGACUGAUUUAUGUGCCCUGCUUUGCCAGGAAUUUUUUCUUUCCUCCGUUGUCUCCUGGCUCCAACUUCACCCUGUGGAUUCCCACACAGGGCUCAGUGGGACUGAAUUAGCCGCCCCGGAGGCACUCACUGAUGGGCCUUUAGACUUGGAAAUUCUCCUUUUGGCCGGGUGACUUUCAGGCCGGAUGCUUUGGGGCAAAUAGCUAAGUGGUUUGGGGUCAUGCAGUAGCUUUUUUUUUUUAAUUAUUAUUGUUAUUAUCCUGCUCUCUAAAGGGCCAAGUGUUUUCCUGUUUCCAUGGAGGCGGCAGUGGAAUUUUUUCCUAUGUCUUCGAGUCUCAGUCCUGGAAGUGUGGAUGGUUUGACCAAGCGAGGAAAGCAUGUUGCUCACACACUGCAGCCUCUUGUAGUGGGAAUAAUAAAAUAAAAGCAAAGCUGGGCGAUUUUUUUUUUUUUCUUUCUUUUCUUUUUUGCGGAGCAGAGGGACAGGCGUGAGCCAUGAAGAUCAGACUGGGGUUCGAACAGUUUGGUGACGUGGUCUCGCGAGUCUGAUGCUGCGAGGUGAACAGCUGUUGGAGGUCCCAGAUGCUUCGGUGCUUCAAGCCCAGUUGAAGGCAGGAGAGGCCAUCGAUCCCAGGAGGAUCCACUGCGUUUCUAUAGGUGCUGCUCCAUUUGGAGAAUAUAUGAAGCUUGGUGUGUGGCCAGGUGAAGCAAUGCCUUGGACGCACAACCACAGCUGCAGGGACAUCAAGGUGACAGUGAUGGCCUUACCCACAGAAACGCUUCUUAAUAAACCCAUUUCCUGCCUU